rnacentral:lncRNA from 1 species
UUUUUUUUUAGAGAGAAGGUCAGGCCAUGAGCAUGAGUAAGCCACAUUAUUGGGCUGCGGAGGCAGCUGUGGGCUACUAUAGCCUAGUUGGGCCAAGAAAUCCAAAACAACAGAACGUGAAACGCAUUGACAGGUCUCCUAAUGACUCUGUGGACUUGUUUAGUCCCACCUUGCCUGGGCGAUCAGCACAGUUCGCCAAGAAAGGUAUAAAAGGAAUCGGAGGGCACCGUUCUAAGAGCAUGGUUAAUAAUAUAGACAGUUGCUGGCUAUAAGCCAUUUUCAUGUCAUAUAUCAUAUAUAGUCCAUUUGAUAGUUAACAUGUAC